rnacentral:rRNA from 1 species
GACGAACGCUGGCGGCGUGCCUAACACAUGCAAGUCGAGCGGAGAUGAUGUGAGGAAGUUUUCGGAUGGAAUCACAUUAUUUUAGCGGCGGACGGGUGAGUAACGCGUGAGCGACCAACCUUGCACAGGGGGAUAACGGACCGAAAGGUUCACUAAUACCGCAUGAGACCACGGUGUUGCAUGACACAGAGGUCAAAGGAGGAAUCCGGUGCAAGACGGGCUCGCGUCCGAUUAGGUAGUUGGAGGGGUAACGGCCCACCAAGCCUAUGAUCGGUAGCCGACCUGAGAGAGUGAUCGGCCACAUUGGAACUGAGAUACGGUCCAAACUCCUACGGGAGGCAGCAGUGGGGAAUAUUGGGCAAUGGGGGAAACCCUGACCCAGCAACGCCGCGUGAAGGAAGAAGGUUUUCGGAUUGUAAACUUCUGUCCUUGGUGAAGAGAAGAAGACGGUAGCCAAGGAGGAAGCCCCGGCUAACUACGUGCCAGCCGCCGCGGUAA